AUUGAACGCUGGCGGCAGGCCUAACACAUGCAAGUCGAGCGAGCGGCGGACGGGUGAGUAAUGUAUGGGGACUGCCCGAUAGAGGGGGAUAACUACUGGAAACGGUGGCUAAUACCGCAUACUAUCGGAUAACCCAUAUGGGAUUAGCUAGUAGGUGGGGUAAAGGCUCACCUAGGCGACGAUCUCUAGCUGGUCUGCGAGGAUGAUCAGCCACACUGAGACUGAAACACGGACCAGAAUCCUACGGAGGCAGGAGUAGGAAAUAUUGCACAAUAGGCGCAAGCCUGAUGCAGCCAUGCCGAGUAUAUGAAGAAGGCCGUAGGGUUAUAAAGUACUUUCUGCGGGGAAGCGUUACCCGCAGAAGAAGCACCGGCUAGCUCCGUGCCAGCAGCCGCGGUGAUUA
rnacentral:rRNA from 1 species